CCUACGGGAGGCAGCAGUGGGGAAUUUUGGACAAUGGGCGCAAGCCUGAUCCAGCAAUGCCGCGUGAGUGAAGAAGGCCUUCGGGUUGUAAAGCUCUUUUGUCAGGGAAGAAACGGUGGGGGCUAAUAUCUCCCACUAAUGACGGUACCUGAAGAAUAAGCACCGGCUAACUACGUGCCAGCAGCCGCGGUAAUACGUAGGGUGCAAGCGUUAAUCGGAAUUACUGGGCGUAAAGCGUGCGCAGGCGGUUUUGUAAGUUUGUCGUGAAAUCCCCGGGCUCAACCUGGGAAUGGCGAUGAAGACUGCAAGGCUAGAAUCUGGCAGAGGGGGGUAGAAUUCCACGUGUAGCAGUGAAAUGCGUAGAGAUGUGGAGGAACACCGAUGGCGAAGGCAGCCCCCUGGGUCAAGAUUGACGCUCAUGCACGAAAGCGUGGGGAGCAAACAGGAUUAGAUACCCUGGUAGUCCACGCCCUAAACCGAUGUCUACUAGUUGUCGGGUUUAAUUAACUUGUAACGCAGCUAACGCGUGAAGUAGACCGCCUGGGGAGUACGGUCGCAAGAUUAAACUCAAAGAGUAGUGACGNGNGAGAGNGACGACGACGACGACGGAGGGAGGAGG
rnacentral:rRNA from 1 species